ACAACAACAAAAAGAUAUACACUGUGGUGGCCUCUGCCGUGUUCCCCGGGGGGGAGCAUGGCCAGAGACAGGAGCGGACCCAACAAAGCAACCAAGAGAGCCGACUCCACCCUCGGCCGCCCACUGACUCUCGGCCAGUGUCCAGUCUGCAUGGAUGCAGAAGGACGUCCAGAAGCAGUGUGCAGAGAAAUCCUGUAGCUCUGACAGAGUGACCAUCGAGUUCUUGGUCGCCUUGACUAGAUUAAGAUGAAUGCAGCAAUGUACAGAGACAUCCUGGAUGAAAACCAACGCUUCCCAUCCAACCUGAUGGAGCUUGAGAGGUGCAGCAAAGAGGAAUGGUCAAAAGAUACAGUGGGUGUGCCAAGCUUGUGGCAUUGUAUUCAAAAAGACUUGAGGCUGUAAUUGAGUAAUUAAGUAAUUAAUUUGC